rnacentral:piRNA from 1 species
UGAGAUGUUACUAACCCCCCACUACU